AUUUAUUACACUACAGGCUCCAUCAUCUUCUUAGUUUCCUGGAAUCAAAACUAAAGUUACAUUUUUUGAAAGCAUGCAGUUUAUUAAUCACAGGUAUGAUCAUGAUUACUGUCAUCAAAAGUGGUGGACAAUCAUGAAUUAAUGGUGAAAUA